rnacentral:rRNA from 1 species
GACGAACGCUGGCGGCGUGCUUAACACAUGCAAGUCGAACGGAAAGGCACUGCUUUUGUGGGGUGAUCGAGUGGCGAACGGGUGAGUAACACGUGAGUAACCUGCCCUUGACUUUGGGAUAACUUAAGGAAACUGGGGCUAAUAUCGGAUCGGAGCCCCUGCUGCAUGGUGGGGGUUGGAAAGUUUCGGCGGUUGGGGAUGGACUCGCGGCUUAUCAGCUUGUUGGUGGGGUAGUGGCUUACCCAGGCUUUGACGGGUAGCCGGCCUGUGAGGGUGACCGGCCACAUUGGGACUGAGAUACGGCCCAGACUCCUACGUGAGGCAGCAGUGGGGAAUAUUGCACAAUGGGCGGAAGCCUGAUGCAGCAACGCCGCGUGCGGGAUGACGGCCUUCGGGUUGUAAACCGCUUUCGCCUGUGACGAAGCGGGAGUGACGGUAAUGGGUAAAGAAGCACCGGCUAACUACGUG